GAGUACAAUAGAGAUCAUACCA
rnacentral:siRNA from 1 species